rnacentral:lncRNA from 1 species
GAGAGAUUUCUGCAAAGUGAAGGAUAGUAAAAACAGAAGUUGGUGUCUUGUGCAAGCAUGCAGCUGUAGAUGCUUGGAAAGUGCUCCCUAGGGCAAUGUGGAAGCCACUCUAAUGGAAAGAAAUAUGUAAAGGGUCAGGGUGGAUGGAGGUAGAACACAUUCCUACACAGCCCAAUGUCUCCUUGGAUCCCCAUUUCUUUCAAGGCUUCCCUGUCACCAUCUUAUAGGUAACUGGCUAGGGAAUUUGAGGUGAGGGAGCAACUGGUGCUGGAGCAUGGAUUAUUGGUGGUAGAAUGUUAAUGCAAUGAGUUGUGGACAGUUAAGAAGUAAGAUUCCAUUCCCCUAAAUGUAGUCUGUAGGCCACCACAUCUGCCAGCUCUCCCUGAGUUGUCAAGAAGUGGCACAGAUUCUACUGAUUCCAAUCCCUAUUUCAUCCUUCCUCAAGUCCAGUCCCCUGGAUCCCACAUUCAACACAGUCCCGAGGUAAAAGGAAUGUGAGAUCUGAGUUCUACAGCUACUUAUUCGAAUAAAGGGUACAUUGAUUUUUCCUCCCCGCUAUAGGAGCGUACACCAAGAUUCUGGCAUUGCUGAAUAAAGUACGUGGUGUCCCUGUGGGACCAGGUUUGCUACUGCAGUUUUCUUAGAUGCACUAAUUCUGCACAUACUUAGUGUCAGUCACAUUGCCUAAUUGAAGUAGGGAACAUCAGGAUUUAGUGGAUUAAGGGUCAUCUAAAUGGGUGGCAGAAUUGAGGGGAUAUCCUUUCCAUUGUUGUUUUCUACCCUCCUGCAAAGGCUG